AAAGAUAUCUGGUUGAUCCUGCCUGAACUGAUGUGUUCAUUUCAAAGAUUAAGCCAUGCAUGUAUAAGUUUAAUCGUUUUAACGAGAAACCGCGAACGGCUCAUUACAAUGGCCAUGAUUUACUUGAUCUUGAUUAUCUAAAUGGAUAACUGUGGAAAAGCUAGAGCUAAUACAUGCACCAGAGCUUUGUCCUCUCGGAAAAGCGCAUUUAUUAGAACAAAACCACGCGGCUUCGGCUGCUUCUUGUUGACUCAGAAUAACUAAGCUGACCGCAUGGCCUUGUGCCGGCGGCGUGUCUUUCAAGCGUCCACUUUAUCAACUUGACGCGAGCAUAAUCGACUCCCGUGGUGGUGACGGAUAACGGAGGAUCAGGGUUCGACUCCGGAGAAGGGGCCUGAGAAAUGGCCACUACGUCUAAGGAUGGCAGCAGGCGCGCAAAUUACCCACUCUCGGCUCGAGGAGGUAGUGACGAGAAAUAACGAGACUGUUCUCUUUGAGGCCGGUCAUCGGAAUGGGUACAAUUUAAACCCUUUAACGAGUAUCAAGCAGAGGGCAAGUCUGGUGCCAGCAGCCGCGGUAAUUCCAGCUCUGCUAAUACAUAGAAUUAUUGCUGCGGUUAAAAAGCUCGUAGUUGGAUUCGUAUCGGUACCUUGGAACCCUUCGGGUGUUUCUGGGUGUUAUCGAUUUAUCGUAAUGUUCGGUUUUGAGUCCUUAACAGGAUUUUUAACAGUCAUUGCAAGUUUACUUUGAACAAAUCAGAGUGCUUCAAACAGGCGUUUUCGCUUGAAUGAUCGUGCAUGGAAUAAUAGAAAACGAUUUCGGUUCAGUUUUAUUGGUUUUACGGACUGAGAUAAUGGUUAACAGAGACAAACGGGGGCAUUUGUAUGGCCCCGUGAGAGGUGAAAUUCUUGGACCGUGGCCGGACAAACUACAGCGAAAGCAUUUGCCAAGAAUGUCUUCAUUAAUCAAGAACGAAAGUCAGAGGUUCGAAGGCGAUCAGAUACCGCCCUAGUUCUGACCGUAAACGAUGCCAACUAGCGAUCCGCUGAUGGAAAUUAUAUUGCCUUGGUGGGGAGCUUCCCGGAAACGAAAGUCUUCCGGUUCCGGGGGAAGUAUGGUUGCAAAGCUGAAACUUAAAGGAAUUGACGGAAGGGCACCACCAGGAGUGGAGCCUGCGGCUUAAUUUGACUCAACACGGGGAAACUCACCCGGCCCGGACACUGUGAGGAUUGACAGAUUGAUAGCUUUUUCAUGAUUCAGUGGAUGGUGGUGCAUGGCCGUUCUUAGUUCGUGGAGUGAUUUGUCUGGUUUAUUCCGAUAACGAGCGAGACUCUAACCUACUAAAUAGUUGGUACAUACUCUUUGUGUAUACAGCUUCUUAGAGGGAUUUGCGGCGUUCAGCCGAAAGAAAUUGAGCAAUAACAGGUCUGUGAUGCCCUUAGAUGUCCGGGGCUGCACGCGCGCUACACUGGCAAAAUCAACGUGCUUGUCCUACCCUGAAAGGGGCGGGUAAACCAUUGAAAAUUUGCCGUGAUUGGGAUCGGAAAUUGCAAUUAUUUUCCGUGAACGAGGAAUUCCAAGUAAGUGCGAGUCAUCAGCUCGCGUUGAUUACGUCCCUGCCCUUUGUACACACCGCCCGUCGCUGCCCGGGACUGAGCCAUUUCGAGAAAUUUGGGGACCGUUGAUUUAAUUUAUCUAAAUUAUUUUGAUGGAAACCAAUUUAAUCGCAGUGGCUUGAACCGGGCAAAAGUCGUAACAAGGUAGCUGUAGGUGAACCUGCUGCUGGAUCAUUACUUUA